AAUUCUGAUUUUUCAGUAGAAAUUUUGGCGUGACGGGUUACGGUUGUGUGUCGCUCGCUUGGAAUGAUAAACUAUCCCUAUCACAGAACUGAUUUGUGAAGAGACAAGCGUGCGGUUAUAAUCGAAGACAGCGUGGAUUACUCAGUGGUUUUACGUGCUUGUUCGUUUCUUCCUGUGUUUGUGUCUGGAAUCUGUAUCAUCGUGAGUCUUGUGGAUCAAUCUUUUGGAGCAAGCGGUGUGAACUGGAAAAUCUGUCAAGAGCCAGAUUUCCUCCACUCUAAGUAAUUUGUAGCUAGUAAUACAAUACUCACCCCGACCCUUCCCUUAUCAGCAUCAAAAAUCUUAGGUUAUUUAUUCCAGCUCUUAUCAGCCCGAGAGUUAAGAAUCUACUCGUGAGCUAAGCAGAUCAUGUUUUGCUCUAACCUAUGUCAAGCACAAUAGCUGAAUCUAGGUCCUCUAUCCUUCAGUUCUCCGAGCUCAGUUGUGGUGUUUUGGCCCAAUUCCAGUGGGCCGUAGUUGUGUGAGCUUUGUCAUGGCAGUUAUUGGCCCCCGCAGGCACUCGAGAGUGUCCGUUUCAAUGCCGCUAAUGCAAGACGCUGGCACUGGUAGCCAUCAAGCUCCAGCCCAUGCCGCAGCUCAGUCCUUCUUCCACCCGCAACAGGCCCAUCAGCCGCCUGCUUCAGCUACAAGAGCACAGGAUAUGCAACCAGAUCGUCCAAUCGGUUACGGAGCUUUCGGCGUUGUCUGGGCGGUGACGGAUCCACGGGACGGUAGAAGAGUGGCCCUAAAAAAAUUACCCAAUGUCUUUCAAUCCCUCGUCUCUUCCAAGCGAGUCUUUAGAGAAUUAAAAAUGUUAUGUUACUUCAAACAUGAAAACGUUCUAUCUGCUCUGGAUAUACUGCAACCACCUCAUCUGGAUUUUUUUCAAGAAAUAUAUGUCAUUACAGAGCUACUUCAAAGCGACCUACACAAAAUUAUCGUUUCACCCCAACAUCUCUCGGCAGAUCACAUAAAAGUCUUCCUCUACCAGAUUCUCAGAGGUCUCAAAUAUUUACAUUCUGCACGGAUAUUACAUAGAGAUAUUAAACCUGGCAAUCUUCUGGUCAACAGUAAUUGUGUUCUCAAGAUCUGUGAUUUUGGAUUAGCCAGAGUUGAAGAACCAGAUAGUGAAAAAGCAAUGACGCAAGAAGUAGUUACGCAGUAUUAUCGGGCGCCUGAAAUUCUGAUGGGUGCCAAACAUUACACAGCGGCAGUUGACGUUUGGAGUGUCGGCUGUAUAUUCGGCGAAUUACUGGGACGUCGGAUUUUAUUUCAAGCUCAAAACGCAGUCCAGCAGUUAGAAAUGAUAACAGACCUCCUAGGAACACCUACCUUAAUAGAAAUGAAAAACGCUUGUAAAGAAGCGAGAUCGCACAUGUUAAGGCAAAGACCAAAGUCGAAUAACUUGUCCAGGCUGUAUUUACUCUCGACGCAAGCAACGUAUGAAGCUGUGCAUCUGCUGUGUCGUAUGCUUGUAUUUGACCCGGAAAAACGAAUUAGCGUUAGCAAUGCGCUUGGCCAUCCGUACUUGGAUGAAGGUCGUCUACGUUACCAUUCCUGCAUGUGUAAAUGCUGUUUCACUACCUCAAAUGCUAUUAGACAAUUUACCUCCGAUUUCGAACCAGUUGCACCUCAUCCCUUUGAUGAUUUGUGGGAGAAGAAACUCACUUCGAUACAGCAAGUCAAAGAGGAAAUGCACAAAUUUAUUAGCGAGCAGCUGAACCCAAACAGAGUGCCUUUGUGCAUCAACCCUAAGUCAGCAGCAUUUAUUAGUUUUGCUAGGUAAGAGGACCUGGCACUCACCUCUGGAACUGUGAUACGUGUCUACACCGACCAGACUUCAUUUUUUCUGUUCAACCGUAGCCCGAUCAUAUAAGCUAGCCCCUUCACCGCAGCAAUGGGAGUGACAUUGGCUCCAACCUAGGUUGCUGCUCUGAUCAGAGUCCCUGAUUGGACCGGCAAUUUGCCGGUUGAGCACUCCGUUCAUUUCGGUGAAAUGAAUCUUACCAUUGUCCAGUUCCACGCCUCAGAUGCUCGGAGUUCGAAAACCUCGCAUCCAGAGCAUCGUUUUCCACAGGUCUCCUUCGAACGUCUCUGCACUAGAGGUUCAAGGCUCAAGAGUAAACUAGGUCUCAUUCUACAUUCUCUAGCCGUCAAGUCGCGCCAAAAUCUCCGGCUAUCAACAUUCUUCAAAGUAUUGUUACCCCACUGUUUGUUUUUAUAAAAUUUUAUUUUGUUAUGUUUUUCAUCUAUGGUCCCCGUCCAGAAAAAGAAAAAAUUCCUCGAUCAUGAUUUCCAUGGAAGUGUUUGCAUGAAAAGUUUUGAUUUUUUUUCCCAUCAAAUUCAAGCCCAUCAUCAAAUCAAUCGGACAUAUUUAUGCUGAAAGGAACUAUGUUGCAUACAAAACUUAUGCGCAUAGCUUCUUUUAGCAUAAGAACGUUCAGUUAUGAGUGAUUUAAUCGAUACACAGUAAUAAUUUUGGAGUAUCUACCCAGCAUUAUUGUUUGAUAUCUAAAUUUCUGUCUUCUCAUUUUAUUCGUAAAAAAGUAGGUGACGAGUAAUUUAUCUUUUUUGCAUAAUUCAUAGUCCCUAUUGACUUUUGUGACUGGUAUCACGUUUUUUCAGCAAUACGUCAUCAUAUAUAAAUUUUUUUAGUAUUAUGUAGUCACUUACUGUCUUGAAUGGUUUGUUUAAAUAACACUUCAAGCGAAUUUUUUCUUUUUUUGUAUUCAAAGCAGUUCAGAUUACUACAUUUUAUAAAAUCAACUAUCACCAAUAAUAAUUUUAUUCAUAGAAUGUCUAAAUUACUAGAGGAAUGUAUCUUUCAAAGUUGAAAUCUGCUCCGUGUACUUGGUGUGAUACUGUGUAUUACCUUUUAAAAUUUUAAGAUCUUUUGUAUGUAUACUAAUUCUUCAGACAUUGAUGUUAAAUGAAUUACUCACUUUUGUUUUUAAAUCUUUUUCCUCAUUUUAUUUAGGGCUCAGCAUAAUCGUUGCUCACGUAACUUUGUCCCUUUAAAUGGAAAGGCAAGUAUGCUGAUUAUAACUUGGGGUCUUAAGAAACUUCAAUAUAUACCAGAAAUUAUUGUUUCUUUUUGCAAGAAACUUUAUUUUAAAACGAUGUAGUUAAUUCUCUUUUUCAAACCUCUUCUCAGAAAUUUCUACCCUUAGUCAAAUAUCAGUACAAUUUUUUUUCUUUUUUGGGAACUAAUGUCUUUGUGAUGAGGUAAAUUUAAGGCUUCCUUUCAGUGAAGCGUAGUUUUGAUUCUUUUCUGUUGGAAGUCUUCGCAAUUUUUGGUGAUCUUUCACUGGUCACCCAGAUUGCAUGAGUGAGCUUCUAUUGUUAGAUGUGGAGUCAUCCUUUGCUUAGCUUUGUGGACGACUUUUUUAAUGAAUGUGUUACCUUUUUCUCUCAUUAUGCUGCACCGCACUACACGGAAGUAUAUACAUAAAAAAAAAGAAACUAAAGAAGUACAAAAAAAGACGAAAUUCUCUGAAACAAGAAGAAAGGCUGGCACCUUGGUGACAUAUGAUCGCUGAACUCUGGAACUACCCAUCUUGGUUUGAAACACUGCAGCUUUCAUGUCAUAUUCUACUUUUUUAACUGGGAAACUAAUCAUCCGAAUGCCUCGAAAAUGUCUGUGAGUUUUCUUUUCUGUUUGUAGAAUACUCCGUGCAAAUUGUAAACACUGAAAAGUGGCUUGUCUCUUUUUUUAAAGAAAGAACAGAAUAGCCCAACUAAUUUUGAGACUCUGGACAGAAGGUACAAUGUACAUGGUUGCUGAGUUUAGCCUUUGAUAUCCUUUACCUUUGCAAGACUUUCGACGGAAGUAGAUUCCCAGAGGCGAUUUCAUUUCCAUCUUCUGUGUAGAGCCCUUUAAUUACGCAAAGUUUCACACAUUCUGAUACCGCAAGAUGUAGUUCCCGUAAGCUCCAUAGGUGUCUUUUUUCCUUUAGUUGAAUUUUCUCAGACCGCAUAUAUUAACCACCCACGAAUGGAAGCGGAAGUCUAGCUUUUUUUAAAUCUUUUGUUGCAAUAUUUAGAUUUCGCAUUACAACUGGUGUUCAAUAUUCUCUGCCAAACGAAUUACUUAAUUUUCCCUCAGCUCUUUUCCUUCUUCAGUUCUUUGUUUUUACGAACCUGUAUAAGAGGAAACAUAGCAAAAUGACAAAAUGUACUGCCAUUUGAUGUGUAGGUGUAAGAUUUGCAUUUAUUUUGUAUUCAUUACUUGCAAUCAGCUGUCUUGAAACCUAGCCAGGAGAAUAUUUUUAACUCCCCUCUUGAAUUUUGAUGGUUCUUUAUCACACUAAAGCAUAGAAAAUCUGACAACUAAUCCUAGAUGUCUGUACAGUUUCAAUGUGCUCUUUUUUCGUAACUCACAAAGCAUUAUUUAGAAGAUAGAGGUUGUUUCAAGGUUGCAUGCUGUUGAUCUUGAAACUUUGCAUUGGUAAUUCAUCGACCCAAUCGAGGGAAAUGCAUCUGAGUAGUUUCCAUCACACCGAAAGUCUUGCUUCAUCUCCAAUUUUUUUAACUUUUCCACAAAGCCUUGGUUAUUGGAUAACUAAACGAAAUAGAAUCUAAAAAUAUUUCACAUGUCCAGCAUCUCCACAGUUUUCAAGGUCAACAACUUUGCCUUGAAGCAAUCUAAGGAGUUUAUGUAUAAAAGCUGUCAACACCAUCAUAUUUGGAAAAAUACACUAGCUACUAAUCGUGUUUUUGUACCGAAGAAUUAUCACACCGCAGCUGAGUGAAACGGUUUUGAAAAUUAAGAAAAAAUUAUUCUCCAGCAAAAUUCACUAUCUACACUUUGCCUUUCAUAGAGAGCAUACAGUCUCGACUUCAAACUGACAUCAGUGACGUCUGCAAGCAGACAGCAACCGCAUGCAAACUAAGGACUAAAACAUUUUUUGAGCAGGGCUCGAAGGUUUUUAAGCUAUUCUCAAAAGCUUACGGUUUUUACAUGUGAUUUUCCUUUAAGGAACAAAUACGUAACAGAAUGUUAGUGGGCAACAAGAAACUUUGUCUCCUCAUCAUAAAAUAUGGUGGCCUUUACAGACUUCUAUAUUACAACUCCUUGCCUAUUUUAAUUAGUACUUCCUUUUUAGACUGUCUGUUGUGAUAUAUUCUUUGUAAAACUCCUCUGGUAAACUUAAGAAUGUAUUUUACUCUUUUAUCUGGUCAAUUGCUCUUUGGGGCAUUCUAGUAAAAUAAACUUGGCGCUUAGAAUUAUAUAUCUGUUGAUGCUUGGUUUUAUUCGGGGGAAUUAAACAAUUAUGAAGAUCUUGGUUUGUCUUAGUGGAUGCAGCAAAGCUACCAAAUUUUAUUCAAACUGCAUGUAGACAAUUUGUAUCUGUCGGUUGUAAACAAAUUUAAUUUUUUAAGUUCUUACCUACCCACACGGCCAAGUUGGCGUUUCUCACAACUGUAAAUAGUUCUGUAAAUUUUUUUGAUCCAAUAUUUUUAAGUUCCUUAAUUUUUGCAUUUUUUUUCAAUUCGAUAAAUAUCUAUUCUUAUCUGAUUAUUUCUCAGUCGAUCCUGAUUUUAUUUUCUGCCGGGAAGACUCAAAAGUUGUCCGUCAAUUUAAUGAUUUAUGUCGAGCUUACGCCAAUAAAAAGCCACAAAGAAGCAACGAUCUUUAACAAAAAAAAAGUUUAUAAAAGUAGGUAAUUACUUUUGAGUGCUUCUUAUGGUGUUUCAAUGUUUUAUCUUUCGUCAAUUUUUCAAUUUAUUUUAUUUUAUUUUUGUAUGAUGUGCAAUGCGCUCAGGAGGAUGGUAUUUAUCACCUUUGUGUUUCGUUGCUAUUUGAAUUAGAUGCAGUUCCACCAUUGUGUUGAGAGGUCUCUUCUGAGUUGGUUCAAAAUUUUCGCUGUCAGGACAUCAUUUCUCACCUUUUUUAUAAAGGAGGCAGUGCAAAACUUUAAAAAAAAAAUUCUCUGGAGUAACCAAACAGCACUGAAAAUCACAAUUCCAUUUUUGUAGGGAAAUUAACUGCCUCCCAGCCUCCUAAGUUACUCCCUGAAAGUUGUGACAAAAAAAUGAUUUUACAUGACAAGAGGGAAUAAUUUUUAAAAUUUAUCAGUGAAGUAAUUUUUUUUUAUGGAAUUACUUGAUUUUGUUCAUUAUUACUUUCAGUAAUGAGCCUCUGAGUCUCCUGUGAAUUUUCUGUUUUUAGACAUUCGCAGAGAUUUCUUAAAAAUUUAAUAGAUAACCAUCUGAUUUUUUCGUUUUAUUUUCUACCCCCAUGUCUAGAUUUAAACUCGUUGCUCAGCUUUAAUUUUGAUAUGAUUGAAUGAACAAAUGAUAUUAUCGAUUGUUCUGAUUUAGAUGUAGUAACUUGUGAUUUUUAUCGUAGCCUUCAUGUGACAGUUAUAGAUGUUGACCAGAUGCUUCCUGUAAUUAAGGUUCUGCACGAUGGUGUGUUGUAUAUUGUAUCAUUUUGUAAAACCUUUUCAUCGUUAGACUGAACUCAGUUAGAAAAUUUCUCAUCGUCAAAUUUGUUAAAAUGCAAGUUGAAUCCUGGAAGCUGUUGUCUUCUCAAAAAUUUAGUUGUCUCUUUAUAAUUUCACAAAUUUUUCAAAUGGGAUCAUACAAGCCUUGGAAAUGCCAAUAGUAAAUAACUUUCGCUCAAACAUGAUUGGUCUAAUCCAAUGUUCACACUCAGACACACACAUUGUGCACUCACCCUACCCCAUCUGUUCCAGGUCCUUUGUUGUUCAAAUAUUUCUCACCUUUCAAUUUUGUAUUUCGCAGUCAGGCAAAAGUUUCGAACCAAAUUGUUUCACAAUAAUAGGGAAUAAUAUUUUUUCCUCGAAAUUGUCGCCUUUUAGGCAAUUUUUCACACUACAGUACUUUUUCUCUCUCUAUAAGGACAUCCACUAAAACAAAAAUUUCUUGGUACGAAAAAAUUAUCUGGUCCCCUUGCCUAUCUUUUUUUUGAGCUUCGCUCGUCAGAAGAGAAAUUUCUCUACAACUGAAAAUCUUCCGGUUUGUCGUUGAUUUCAUCCUAGAGAGAGAGAGUGCUGUAUUAUUUGUGUCGUAAAUUGAUCAUUUGAAAGUCAGCUUUCGCUGACUUUCCUUUCGGAUGAAUUGUUAAAAUACCAGGAGGACAUAAAGCAUGCAUCUGUCUAGACAAAACGAUAAUUAUAUUUUUACACUGUCUCAGGAUUCACCUUGCUUAUUAUCAUGAAUAGCCAGCCGUCUUUUAAUUUGUCUACAAUUUCCUCACCAGACGUUAAUGGUCCCUCAUUGUAUAUUUUUAUUCUGACGUUGGACGGAAAUCCCUGAUUUUUCACAGUUAAUGAUCUUCAAAAAUUUUUGUGGGUGAUAUAAAGAAUGGCUAAUUGUUUCUUUUACCCUUUUUCAAGUUUCGUUGCGUCUAAGUAAGAGAUGGAACUGGGACAGACUUUCCAUGAUAAUUUUUCAAGAGUCUGUGCCCAGAAAGGUUCUCAAUUUUAGUCACCAAGAAGAAAAAUAAUCUGUUGUGUUUCCAAACUAAUGUAAGCUACAAGUUUCAUUGAUUUUAAUGGACAUUUAGUUUAAUUUUUUCUUCUGUGGAAUGCUCAACAAGUUUGAAAUUCCUUUAUUUCCCCACUCUGAGAGCCCACAGCUGAAGUCAGUAUACCAUUAAUUCAUUUUUGCAAAAUGAAAUUUCAAAAAUUAAUGUCACGAAUGCUUUGCAUCCCCUCACAAACUUCCUUCCGUUUGAAACGCCAUCACAUUACUCGUUACAUGUAUCAGCUCACUAUUGUUUAGUGUCUAUAAUUUUUAACCUGAGUCUUUUAUUUGUUACUAGCCUUAAGUGUUUCACUGGUAUAAUGUGAUGUAUUGAAUUCUGUGAAUUAUUAGUUCGAAGGAACAAAACUUUGUAUAUUAAUGUGUUCCGAGUUUAAUUUUUCUCACUUUUUAAUGUAAUGUACUUCUGUUAGGGUUUUUUUUUCUUUUCUUGGUUUAUGGAAUGACCUCUUUGUGAUAUUUGAUACUUAUGUAGUAACUCAACGAAUAGACCAAGACCGUCCACAAACAGUGGUGGUACUAGUCUAAAAACGACCAUGCUCUUUACCUGCCCAAUACUACCGCGCUCAGGAAAAAUGCUAUGUGAACAUUUGAGAGUUGUCAAACCCCAGUAAAAUGUUUUUUCAUAAGGAAAGUUGUAAAUAUUUUCUCUUAAAAUUUUCAGAUAAUUUUGAUUUGAUUGUGAAUAAAAUUAUCUGAAAAAUUGGAGGAGAAAUACUCACAUAUUUCCCUGAACAUUUGUAUUUUAUCAAAGAAAAUUUGGCAACGUCUGAAGGCUCGUGUAGCCUUUUUUCUUAGUGCGGCAGAAUAGCUGUACUGCAUUACUUGUUUUUGAGCUUGAAUUACUGGAGGAAAGGGAGAAUUCAUGCCUGAUUCUCCUGAUUUCUUGAAAUUGACACAUUGGAGCUUAAAGUUUUAAAGUCAAUUGUCUCAGAUAGUUGCAAAGAAAAUCACACUAAAAAUUAUCAAAAUCUGAUUAAUGCCGUAUUCUCUCAGAUUUUGUGGGUUUUUCUUUACCAUGGGGGCAUUAUCACUUCAUCUGCAACUAUUAAGAAACUGUUUGAUAGAUAAACGGAAUGUCAAUAUCAAUCGGAUAUUCUCUUAAUAUCAAAGAAUCCUUUCAAAAUUUUCCUUUCUCCUCCAGGGAUCGAACCUCAAAUAUAAUGAAACUAAGUGUAAUAAUAUUAUCACUGCUGUUCAAAAGCUGCAUUUUACUAUCAAUUCUCUGGUCUUUAAUAAUAGGCAGACUUGUCGUAAUCCUUCAAAGUCUCCUGUUCAACAAUCAGUUUAGAGUGAAUAGAGAGAAGCUUUUGAGAGGCAGUACUCAGGAACGAACGUCCCGUUCCGUAUAAGCAAUAAUUCAGGUGCAUAGUUCUCUUAUUCUGUUACUAAUCUGUAUUUGUGGCCUAAUCUUACAGAUGUAACACUAGGCUCGAAAAGUCUAACUUUGAUGAGAAAUCGUACUUCAUUACUCUGACGUAACGUAUCAUAAACUCGUAACAUAAUUCCUAUUCAGAUAAAUUCAGUAAUUUUACUUUACAAGACUUCAAUCAAAAUGUGCUUUAGUGAAGUCGAUUCUAAUGAAUAGUCAUGGCAAAAGUGGUGAAAAAUCUUUGGUACUGAAACCGAUGUGUGGAAAAGAUUUUUAGAACUGCUCUGAUGAAAAUGGAGGAAGAUGAGUCCAAUCUUGUGUUGUCUUAACUUAAACGAGGCUUUGUCAAAAGAGGCACUUCUUUCUGCCCGAGGCAUGCACAAUUUCAACAUAGCUCUCAAUCACCUCUACUGGUUUGAGUGUUUAACUUCAGUUCUCUCCAAAAACAUUGCUGCUGAAAGAACUUUUGUAAUUUUCAAAUAUUACAGUUAAACUCUCUUGGCAAAAAAUCAACUGCCUAAUUUAAAAAGAAGCUCUUCCACUUUGGAGUGAAUCUAUCGAUUUGAAAUCUUGCACUUUGUAAUAAGAGAAUUUGGAUGCAUUUACACCCAAGAAGUUUUUCUUUGCAGAAAAUUUGUAUUAGAUACACAGCUUCUGCGUAAAUGUGCUCAAUUCUUUUCACCGAGUGAACAUUUUGAAACAGAUGAUUUUAUUCCAAGCGUAUCCCCAUCAUUAAUACACAUGUUUUUGCUUUUAUUUACGUCAGUGCCAGUGCUUUAACGAGCCAAUUAGCAUGCCCCAAAUCUGUGUAAAAAUUGUCAUGGUUCAACUCUUAUCAUCAAAGCUGAAGUUUCAGAAAAUUCCGGAAGCUAAAAAUGAAAGUCGGCCCAACAGACCUCAAAUCGCCCCUCAAAUCAAUUGUUUUAAGUCUUGUCUUGUAGAAUUAGGAUUUUAUUUCACUCUAGAGUAUUGAUUUCUUGUCGGUGAUAAUCUUAAACUGCUUAGUCGCUCUGGUCUAAGCACAAUAAAGUUAAUCAACGAUCUCAAAGUGUAGACAUCAAUAAUUGAUCGACGCUCCUUAGUGACAGUUUGUCUGAUUAUCAAUCCAUGUAGAUAAAUUGUGUCUUUAGUGUAGCCAGAUUAGCUGCCCUCAUGCAAUUUGUGUGUCAUUUUGGUGCGUAUUUUGGGUUUCGUGUAAUCUAGAUAGAGUAAAUAUUUCAUUUUAAAGAAAAUGUCUUAAGAUUUUACGUUAAUCUAUGUUUUAGUCCUCAAAGAGUUGGACUACAUUUUGCAAUUAGGAACUACCAUUAAUGGCUCAGUUCAAGAACGAUGUUUGAACUGUUAAUUUUCCUAUGAAUAUAAGUGUUUUUAAGGAUAAACUAGAAAUUGUAGUUCCCAAUUGCACAAUGUAGUCCAGUUCAAGUAGCACUAACUGGCAAGCACUCCUCUGCCGUGCUAAGGAAAAACGCCGUAUGAGCAUUCGAAUGUUGUCAAAUUUCUUUUUAGAAAAUAUUUCUAUUUUAAGGAAGUUAUGGAUAUUUUCUCUUGAAAUUUUCAGACAUUUCAGAUUAAAUUACAAAUGAAACUAUUGGAAAAAUUGGAAGAAAAGUAUUAACAAAAUUUCUGAAAAAUGUGUGAUUUUUCAAAGGAAUUUUAGCAUCUGAUGGCUUAUACAGCGCUCUUCCUUAGUGCAGCAGUCUUCCCUUUAGUUUUACGUCUUCUUUUUCUUCUUUCCUCGAUAAAUUUUAAGUUUUACUUUAAAAUCCUAUUUAUUUUUUUAUCAAUAUCAAACAGUUUUUGUGUUUCCUAUUUUAAUUGAUGAUAAUUUUGUUGUAAUUAAAAACCCUUGAAUGUAAAUAUUUGUAAAUAGUUUGCCUUUUUUAUAAAAAGAAAAACAAAUAAAUAAAAGGGAAAAAAAAUUGAAAAACUGAAGAAAAGAAGGUAUUAUGUUCUAGUGCUGCUUAUACUUCUCAAUGUUAGCAAACAUUUAAACAACAUUGGUGUAAUCUAAUUUAAUCAGUUUUAUGUGAUGUACAUUUUUUUUUCAAAAGGAACAAUUCUAAGUUGUAUUUUAAUGCCCAAUGCAAACUUUAAAAACAGAAGAAAUAUGAUGACUAUCGAAGUAAAUAAAAAAUAAGUAAAUGGUGCACAA